rnacentral:rRNA from 1 species
UCACACAAGAGACCCAAAUUAACCGUAAACGGCGUAAAGAGUGGUACCAUGAUAUCAUAGCAGCUAGGACUGAAGUGCAACUAAGCUGUCAUAAGCUCAAGAUGUACCUAAGGCCACCUUUAAGAUGAUCCUAGCGUUGCCUGACUAAUUUAACCCCACGAAAGCUAAGACACAAACUGGGAUUAGAUACCCCAUUAUGCCUAGCCCUAAAUCUUGAUGCUUGCCAUACCAAAGCAUCCGCCUGAGAACUACGAGCACAAACGCUUAAAACUCUAAGGACUUGGCGGUGCCCCAAACCCACCUAGAGGAGCCUGUUCUGUAAUCGAUAACCCACGAUUCACCCGACCGCCCCUUGCCAAUGCAGCCUACAUACCGCCGUCGCCAGCCCACCUCUCCUGAGAGCCCUACAGUGAGCACAAUAGCCUAAACCCGCUAACAAGACAGGUCAAGGUAUAGCCCAUGGAGCGGAAGAAAUGGGCUACAUUUUCUACAAUAGAAAA